GUCCAGGUCGGCGCUUCCCCUCCGGGCGCAGGCGCCACCGGCAGCCCGCGGCGCAGCGCUGCCGCCCGGGACGGCGGCCUCAUGAGCUGCCAGGUCUCGGUGCUCUACUUCGCCCGGAGCGCGGAGCUGGCGGGGCUGCGCUGCGAGGCCCUCUCGGUGCCGCGGCAGAUCACCUCGCUGCAGCUCUGGGAGGAGAUCGUCAGGGCUCACCCAAGGCUGGCGGCCAUCCGGGACCAGGUGGUUCUCGCUGUUCGGCAGGAGUACGUGCUUCUUGGAGAUCACCUCCUGGUCCUGCAGCCUGGAGACGAAGUUGCUGUCAUCCCACCCAUUAGUGGAGGCUGAAUCUGGCCAGAUUCUCUUAGCUUUUCUAGUGAGCUAUGGGCGAAAGCGAAGAUGUGCCAAAAGAUUUUAUCAAGCUCAAGUCUGAAAAGCUCUCUGUGGAUGAAGUGUCAGAGCUGGUCAUUUCACCAUAUUGUGGGGCAGUGUCUCUCUUCGUUGCGUGGUUCCAAUAACUGAAGCAAGUGUAAUUAUUGCAGUGUCCUCUCCACACAGAGCAGAAUCCCUUGAGGCUGUAACGUACUGCAUCAAUACCUUGAAAGCAUCUGUCCCAAUAUGGAAAAAGAGCUCUUUCUUGAAUUGAGUUCAGUGUAGAUGUACCCUUCUAACAGUAAUGGGGCGCAGACCAAGUUUCAGCAUCCACCCACAUGAGAUUUAUGAGGACGAAUAUUCUUGGAAAGAAAACAAGGAAUGCUUUUGGGCAAAUUCAGGAAAAUAAUUGUUCUCUUUUAAAAAUAAAGUGUUACUCUUCCUAAUAAGCACAA